rnacentral:rRNA from 1 species
AUUGAACGCUGGCGGCAUGCUUUACACAUGCAAGUCGAACGGCAGCACGGACUUCGGUCUGGUGGCGAGUGGCGAACGGGUGAGUAAAGUAUCGGAACGUACCUUUCAGUGGGGGAUAACGUAGCGAAAGUUACGCUAAUACCGCAUAUUCUGUGAGCAGGAAAGCAGGGGAUCGCAAGACCUUGCGCUGAUUGAGCGGCCGAUAUCAGAUUAGCUAGUUGGGGAGGUAAAGGCUCACCAAGGCGACGAUCUGUAGCGGGUCUGAGAGGAUGAUCCGCCACACUGGAACUGAGACACGGUCCAGACUCCUACGGGAGGCAGCAGUGGGGAAUUUUGGACAAUGGGGGCAACCCUGAUCCAGCCAUGCCGCGUGAGUGAAGAAGGCCUUCGGGUUGUAAAGCUCUUUCGGCCGGGAAGAAAUCGCAUGGGUUAAUACCCUGUGCGGAUGACGGUACCGGCAUAAGAAGCACCGGCUAACUACGUGCCAGCCGCCGCCGUAACAC